GAUAUACUCCCUCCGUCCGGAAAUACUUGUCAUCAAAAUGAAUAAUGUAUCUAGACAUAUUUUAGUUCUAGAUACAUCUCUUUUUAUCCAUUUUGAUGACAAGUAUUUUCGGACGGAGGGAGUAUAAU
rnacentral:pre_miRNA from 1 species